AGGCAUGCUGGCGGAGGUUGGCGGCAAGGCCGCCAACCUUGGUGAAAUGGCCACCGCCGGUUUGCCGGUGCCGCCCGGAUUUUGCCUG
rnacentral:tRNA from 2 species